rnacentral:tRNA from 1 species
GGGCAAUAGCUCAGUUGGGAGAGCGCCACGUUCGCAAUGUGGAGGUCGUGGGUUCGAUUCCCAUUUGCUCC